CCCGCUGAACUUAAGCAUAUCAAUAAGCGGAGGAAAAGAAACUAACAAGGAUUCCCCUAGUAACUGCGAGUGAAGCGGGAAAAGCUCAAAUUUAAAAUCUGGCGGUCUCGCGGCCGUCCGAGUUGUAAUCUGGAGAAGCGUCUAUCCGCGUCGGACCGUGUACAAGUCUUCUGGAAGGGAGCGUCGUAGAGGGUGAGAAUCCCGUCUUUGACACGGACAACCGAUGCUUUUGUGAUGCGCUCUCGAAGAGUCGAGUUGUUUGGGAAUGCAGCUCAAAAUGGGUGGUAAAUUCCAUCUAAAGCUAAAUAUUGGCGAGAGACCGAUAGCGAACAAGUACCGUGAGGGAAAGAUGAAAAGCACUUUGGAAAGAGAGUUAAACAGUACGUGAAAUUGUUGAAAGGGAAACGUUUGAAGUCAGUCGCGUCGGCCGAGACUCAACCUUGCGCUCGCGCUCGGUGCACUUCUCGGUUGACGGGUCAGCAUCAAUUUCGACCGCCGGACAAAGGUUGGGGGAAUGUGGCAUCCUUCGGGAUGUGUUAUAGCCCUUGAUUCACAUACGGCGAUGGGGAUUGAGGAACUCGGCGCCUCGCGCGUCCAGGAUGCUGGCAUAAUGGCUUUAAACGACCCGUCUUGAAACACGG
rnacentral:rRNA from 1 species